CGAGCACCUCACAUAUUUGCUCCCGUCAUUUUAACGAAAGUGACUUUCAAACAGGGAUUGAAAUUUUGAACGUGUUCCAUCCUUACAAACGGUGGACUCUUAAUGCUGGAGCAAUGCCCUGGAAACCAACAUUUUCUGUUAAAUGAUACAUCUAGUCAACAAGCAAUGCAAAAUGUUGAUGUUUUCAAAUGGAUAAAUAACCUAAAUGUGGAAGCAAAUGCUAGCAAUGCAUCAGUAAAGGAAACAAACAAAAGUAGACUUAAUAUACCUACUACGUCAAAGAGAAAAAAAUUUGACAGUACAGGUAUUAACAAUGCAUCAGUAAGGAAACAACCAAAAGUAGACCAAAUUUACCUACUACGUCAAAGAUAAAAUUUACAGUACAGCACCCUCCAUGGAGUUACCUCUACUAUUCAAGAAUCAAUCAAGAUUCCCCAGGCUGCUGAAGAAUGAAUUUUUGAUCCAUUUCCUGAUUCAAUCAAAGAAAAUCUUGCUGUUGUCAUUGAAGGUACGACAGUUGCAUCACCUUCUAUGGGAGCUACCUCCACUAUUGAAGAAUCAAUCAACAUUCACCAGGCUGCUGAAGGAGAAAUUUUUGAUCCACUUCCUGAUUUAAUGAAAGAAAACGUUGCUGUUGCUGUCGAAGGUUCGACAGUUGCGCCGUUACAAAUCUGUUACGAAUCUCUUCGCUGCGAGGAACUGGAGUUGCCAGAAGCCUUCACUGCAGAUCAUUAUACUCGAAUACGCAAUAAGGGGUGUUUGAUUUUUGUCACUGUAAAUAUGUUUCAAAAAUUCAGAGUGAUAGAAAAAGGUAAUUGAGGCACAUUUUGAGCCAAUUGGCCAAAUGUAUGAAGAGGAGUCACUUCAAGAGUGCAUCGGUAAAAUUUCAACUUAUCAUUGAGUUCCCAUUUUUUGUGAUUUUCAUAGAGAUGAAAAGCUGCCUUACAUAAUAAGAGAAUUUGUUGGAGUUGGAUAUUAUCCCUGAGGUAUAUUUAUAUACGAAGGUCCUUAACAAUAUAGGAUGUGGGAU